CAAGCAAACAAAAAUCACAAACAACUUCAUAGAUCCAGACUCCCCAAACCCAGUUUUCUGCAGAUAACUACACAUGGUUUGGCUGUGAUUGGGAAGAAGUAUAAAUACUCCAGAUCUCUGUAAGUCUGGGGACCUUCCUGUCUUCAGUUGUCCCAGGAGACUGAUAAAAGUGUAUACAUGUGAGUCUGUGUAGACUUACAUCCUGUUAAUAUUUGAUCUAUUCUAGAGAUAUAAACAAGUAGUUAAGAUAUUCCAGGUCUUUCUGUUAGACUUAUCACUUUGAAUGCGGUUUGAGGCAUGAAUGUUGGUCCUGGGAAGGAUAUUAAAUGGAGUCUCUGCAAGUAUGCAUUCCCUGCAAGCACAUGGCUGCUCUGUCUGCUCUUGAGUUUAGAGACAUAAUUCCCAGAUCUUUGAUGCUUCAUUCCAAGAAAUCUAAUCAAAUCCAGUACCAGGAAGAACCAAUAUGGUUAGGGUCUGCUAAGAAAGAAUAUAUAUAUAUAUAUUCAGAAUUUUGCCUCCAGGACCAAAUAAAUAGAUUUCCUUAUUAUUGCUACAAUCCGAUCUCCAACGUACAAAAUGAGGAUAAAAUAAUAAAAAUAAAAGACAUAAAGUACAAAACGGCAGAGUAAAAACAUGAAACAAUCCAGAGGGGCUGGAGCGCCUCGGUGACAUCUCCUCAGAUAAUAAUAAGGAAAAGUGGUCCAAUGUUUACCCAGCUCAGCAUCCUGCCAGCUUCCCCAGGGAAUGAAAUCUCUCUCUCCUCCGGGUGGCACUUACUCUCCUGCAUAUGUAUUGACAUGAAAUUGCCUACAGAGAGAUCACAGCUUGGGGCAAGCUUUGUGGAGGAUGAAGGGGCUAAUUAAUACCUUGUGAAGAAAGGAACCAAGAAGCAAUCAUGCGUCCCUUUGGAAAGUGUCAACAUUUCUGCCAAGAGCAAAGUUCUGCAGUGGUGACAUCUUUUUGCUGUGGACAGACAUGUGUGCUACCCAAAGGCAUGCCAAGUUUGUGGUUAAGUGAUCUGCAAUUCUAGCUGCAGGACUUAUGAGUAACAGCUGAAGACAAGGAAGGAAGAAGAGUCCCAGGAGCUUUGGAGACUGCCUAAGAGACCCAGGAUGUCUUAAUUGCCAAAAGAUAUUGUGAAUUCCCACAUGCAGCUGGGGAAGCCACUCUGCUGCUUGAAGGUACAUGUGGAACAGCCAACAUCUGUGAGUUGCCAAGGACCUGGGAACAGGGUGAGAAGAUAUUUAAAAAGGAGUGCCCACCAGCAAAGCCAGUGAUGGAGAGAGCAAUCACCACCACCUCUGGCUGAGGCGUGCCUACAAGGAAGAUCGGAAGGAGGAUAUUGACCAAGUGUUCAGGAGUCUAGCUGAGAAUUCCUCACUGCUUACUGCGGUUCUAAUCCCAGCUGUCAGCCAAGAGCCCCAGAUGUGUGGCUGCAGGAAAGGGGAUGCCAUCCAACACUCCAUGCAGUUCAGAAAAGAUCUCUCCAUGGAAGUGCUUAGGUCAAACACAGAAAGGGCUGUUUCCAAAGACCUGGCUUCAUCAUAGAACAGCAGCAUCCCUUACAGAUGACUCCUAUGUGAACUGACCUGGCCUCCUCUCCCUUUCAUUUGUCAGGUGGACAUCUGUCAUGUGAUAUGUAGGAAAUGAGACCCUGUAUACGCACAGGUUAGAUUAGACUCCUUUCUUGUAAAAGGAAGAAAGUCUUUAGGUUUUUGUUUUUGUUUUGUUUUGUUUUGUUUUACAGUUUUCAAUUGGUUUAUAGAUCAGAUAGAUUCCAUCAUCCAUGUUUAUAGAUCAGAUAGAUUACAUCAUCCAUGUUCAACUGAACAGUCCCAUAGAUAGGUCAGUCAUUUUAGAAGAUUUCUAUAGAGAAAUAAUAGAAUAAUCCGAGUUCAAGCACAAGUGAACAAGAAGAAAACGGCAGAGCUGACACUUGGCUGCUGCCCACAGCUCUGCAUGAGCAGCUCCACAAAGGAUGCCAGUCACGACCCAGUAUACGCCUCCCAGCAGGACCACACUGAAGCUAGCAUCCUUGGUCUCCACGCUGGAGAUGGCACUUUAAUGACACACGCAGAAGCAAUUGUUGUUUUAAAAGAAACCACUGCUAUUUGCUGAAAAUAUCACAGACACAGGUGUUCAGAAAUAUUUCUGUAACUGUGAUUUUAUCACCCAAACCAAUAAUUCACCUGUUUAAAUAAAAUAGCAACAGGAAAUCUUGCCAGUUGUGAAGUUUAUUUAAAAAAAUCUAGAAAAUAUAAUUUCUAAUUUUGAAAAAAUUUGAAUUAUGGAGUUUUAGUGUAAUUAUAACCCAUUUGUUAAUGUAAAUGCAGUGUGUGGUUGGAUGGAUACAGUAACAUGCAUGGUAUAAAUGUAUGAAAUUUUCAAAGAAUGAAUAAAAAGUCAGAUGACUGACAUAAUAAAGAACAACCACAGGAUUAGUUUAUAGAUCAAAUUUUAAGCAAAUUGGCUCCUGGAUUUUAUCGCUGAGAAUCAUUAUUGUCUAGGAACAGAACCAAAAUCUUCUUGAGUACCACUUGGAGACAUGUUCACCAGUUAAAAACAAUGAAACAGGGCUGGAGUGAUGGCUUUGCCGUUAAGAGUGUGAAGUACUGCUCUUCUGGAGAGCCUGAGUUUGGUUCUAGCACUCAACCUCAGGAAGCUCAUAGCCAGCAACUCCAUCUCCAGGGACACCCCACCCCCAACUUCUUACCUCCAUGGGCACCUGCGUACAUGUACACAUACAUACAGAGACACUUAAAUAAAGAUAAGUCUUUAA